UGACUUUCAAUUUGCCUUUUUGGGUGGUA
rnacentral:piRNA from 1 species